GCGCGCCCGAGGGCGGGGCGAGCGGUGGCGCGCGGCUGCCCGGCGUCCCUGAGCCGCUAGAGCCGGGCCUCGAAGCGCUUCCCCAGAGCCUUCCGCGCCUGGGAUUUGCGGGGAUCUCGCCAUGCUAUUUCUUGAGAUGGUACUUGUAUGCCUGAGAGACCAAAAUGCUGAUUCAGUUUACCUUCCUGGAAACUGUAAAACUAACCAAUCAGAGGAUCAGGUCAUUGAGUAGAAGAAGCUUGCCCAACCCAAAAUGCAUCUCUUUGAGAGGACCCAGUAGGAGAGAACUGCCCUUGAAAUGCUAAAAUGGGGAAAACAGCUUGAGAAUGUUAUGAGGCAAGACAGACUGACGUGAAAGAUAUUUUGAUCUCCAUGCACUUGGUGCCAACUCAAGGCCAAGUUAGGAAAACAGUCCACGAUGUACUGUAAAGUAAUACUGAAUGGAACAGGUGAGUUAAGAAUGGAGUAAGAAUGGAAAAGUGAGUCAGACAUAAAGUCACAACACCCUGAGUUUGUCCUCAAGAUAAUUAUCGGUGGCAUUAAUUGGCAAAUUUCUGUUGCUGUUUAAUUGUAAACUAAUUAAUGCUACAAAUAUUUGCAUUUUGUAGAGAGUACAUUACAAUGUUCUCAGUAUAAAACUAGAUGGGAAAGUGGAAUUUAGUUUUAAACUCCAACAUAUCUCUUAAAUCACUUACUUCUAUUUCAAGCAGGAGAGAAAAUUAUUGUGCAUGAAACCUAUAAUAAUUUAGAGUGUUUAUCAGGAAAAGGAGAGUGUUCUGCAAGUAAGGGCUUUAUUUAAAUUUACUAAGGGAGAGUGUAUUUACACUUCUAUGGCAAUUUUUCGAUAUGACUACUUUCUAACAAAUAUGAAAUCUUUCUUUUCCAAAUAGGUGAGUGGUUUAAAUCAGAGAACCUGUAUCAUGGUCUUUGAUUGUUGAUCCUGUUUUUACAUGGCCUUCAAACCAUCUCAGGUUCUUAAUUCUUAGCUUUUCCUUUCCAUAACUAUAAAAAUGGAAAUGAUAAAAUGCUGAAAGUUUUAAAUGUUUGUAUGUGUUUGUUUGCUUUGUUUUGGGAUUCCCAAUUAGACAUUUUUAUUUCUAUGAAAUAUUACUACACUGGGAACUUGAAAAUACAUGGGCAGAUUCAGGGGACAAUGCCAUAAAAAUGAAG